UACAGAGGCCCCAAGCGUUACUGAGAAUCACUGGGUUUAAAGGGUGCGUAGGUGGCGCGUUUAAGUCCGUUGUGAAAUCCCUUGGCUCAACCAAGGAACUGCUUCGGAUACUGGCGUGCUUGAGGCUAGUAGAGGUCACUGGAACUGACGGUGGAGCGGUGAAAUGCGUAGAUAUCGUCAGGAACGCCAAUGGUGAAGACAGGUGACUGGGCUAGUUCUGACACUGAGGCACGAAAGCGUUGGGAGCGAACGG
rnacentral:rRNA from 1 species